rnacentral:rRNA from 1 species
AAGCGCCUACUACCAGACUCGUUGGCGGUGUUCCGCCGGUCUUCUGACCGGUCUACUCACCGUCCACGGGCCAACAUCGUCUGGGGCCGCCGGAUAAGAACAAAGGAAUGUGGCUCCUCGGAGUGUUAUAGCCUUUGGUGAUGCGGCGUGUCCCGGGCGAGGUCUGCGCUUCGGCAAGGAUGUUGGCGUAAUGGU